GUGCCAGCCGCCGCGGUAAGACGAAGGUGGCAAGCGUUGUUCGGAUUCACUGGGCAUAAAGGGCGCGUAGGCGGUUCCGAAAGUGGCAUGUGAAAUCCUCUGGCUCAACCAGAGAAGUGCGUGCCAAACUUCGGUUCUAGAGGAUGGUAGGGGGGACUGGAACUCUCGGUGGAGCGGUGAAAUGCGUAGAUAUCGAGAGGAACACCGGUGGCGAAGGCGAGUCCCUGGUCCAUCACUGACGCUGAGGCGCGAAAGCGUGGGUAGCAAACAGGAUUAGAAACCCCUGUAGUCC
rnacentral:rRNA from 1 species